rnacentral:lncRNA from 1 species
CAAUAGCAAGUGUGGUCAUAGAAUCUCUUUUUGGUAAGCUUAAUCCUAACACAACCUAUUUUUAAAAGAUACUAAGUGACAGAAAAGUAAACAGCCACCACUUUUUCAAAGGAAAGAAGAUUGUUCUAACAUUGUCCCUAAGAGCUUUCCAAGAACUGGUUGAUGCCAUUAGUAAAUAGAUGGCAACAAAGCAAAAGUCAA